rnacentral:rRNA from 1 species
GACGAACGCUGGCGGCAUGCUUAACACAUGCAAGUCGAACGGAAAGGCCCUGCUUUUGUGGGGUGCCCGAGUGGCGAACGGGUGAGUAACACGUGAGUAACCUGCCCUUGACUUUGGGAUAACUUCAGGAAACUGGGGCUAAUACCGGAUAGGAGCUCCUGCUGCAUGGUGGGGGUUGGAAAGUUUCGGCGGUUGGGGAUGGACUCGCGGCUUAUCAGCUUGUUGGUGGGGUAGUGGCUUACCAAGGCUUUGACGGGUAGCCGGCCUGAGAGGGUGACCGGCCACAUUGGGACUGAGAUACGGCCCAGACUCCUACGGGAGGCAGCAGUGGGGAAUAUUGCACAAUGGGCGGAAGCCUGAUGCAGCAACGCCGCGUGCGGGAUGACGGCCUUCGGGUUGUAAACCGCUUUCGCCUGUGACGAAGCGUGAGUGACGGUAAUGGGUAAAGAAGCACCGGCUAACUACGUG